CUUUAUCGCACGUUGCACAGACGACGUCGCAACAAAAAAAGAUCACUACGACUACAAAGCACGACAGAGGCGCUGGCAGCCAUUUCGCCUCCGGCUUUUUAGCUUGCGCGGGUGGGAUGUCCAUAC
rnacentral:lncRNA from 1 species